UCACCAUUCAUAUUCAUCAUCAUCAUAUUAGACAUCAUCAUCAUCAAACGUCUCCGAUCAAACUCCAUUUGAACCGUUCAUCUCUUCUCCGGUAACUAUUCGACCAUCUUCUCCGGUCAUCACAACCUUCGUUCAUCGUCUUUCUCGCCACUGCCAUCAACACACCCUCGGUCACCUGUUACAUCUUUAUCUCUGUUCUCAUCGUAGAUACGGUUCACGUUUAUUAUCGUACAUCAUCUAAAACAGAUUCGAAACACUACACGGUUCACGUGUAUUGUCGUUCACCUCCGGCCAGCGACUGUCAUCUACCAUCAUCAUCCGAUCGACAUCGCAAGUAUUCGUGUUCUUGUUUUUGUCUCUCGAAUUCAGUAUUGUGUUCUAGAGCUCAAGUCUUUCAGCAUCUGCUUGUAUGAGUUUGUGACGGAAAUGGGAAGGAAACCGGAAGAAAACAAAAUUGUUUUGGUUUUUUUUUGUGACAGCUCUUGUCAUCGGGAAAAGAAGGAUACUUAUGACAUAUUUCUGUUGUCGGGGCUUAUGAGAAUUUGCGUGGGAAGCUUUGUCCAAUAACCAGAAGUUUUGGUUGUGUAUUUCAUAAUGAUUCGAUGUUGUUAUUCAGAUUUCGGUGACUAGCAAAAUAUCUUGGUGGCUGAUGUCCUUUGUUUGCGGCUAGGGUUUGGAGUUUUGCAUGUGCUGGAUCAUAUGAUGGGCCAAUCAUUAGCCAAUAUUGUAAAUUCUAGAUUGGGCAUUCCCAUGGGCCCACUUAAUUGUUACGUGACGUUAUUUCAACAUCAUCAAGUGGUUUUUAAGUGAAGUGGGCCGAUUAAAGUGGUGCAAAAUUUUGGAGCAUAUUUGAAUCAGUUCUUUGUUGGACCGGAUAGAGAAUGGGCUUGUUUACUAUUGUACCAUUAAAAGAAAAGAUCCAAAAUUGAAGAUCAUCACAGUUGAAGAAGACAUUAUUUUUCUAAUCCGUAAUAAAGAUAGCAUAAAACUAGGGGGAUAUUGUAAGGCCCAGAAAUUGUAUAGUUUUACGCUUAUCUUUAUUGUACACAGUUAUGUUUAUUGGGCUUAGAAUAGGACUUGGGUUUGGGCUAGGCCAUGUGGGCCGAUUGGUUAGAGGCUCCUAUAUAUUGUCAUUCUAGUUUAUUGUUAGGGAGCUCUCUCAUAUUUUUGUAAUCAUGUAAUCCCCAUGGAGAACCUUGUACCAGACAAUCCUAGAGAUUGUGUGCAAGGUUCUUAGAGAUUGUACCAGACGUUCCUAGAGAGCGUGUGCAAUCUUCUUAGAGAUCGUACCAGACGGUUCGUUGAAACCGUGUGCGAUCAAAGCAGCGGCACAAAGUUUGCGGCACAAAGCAGCGGCACAAGGUGUGGUUUGAUCAAGCUCGGACUUUUUUGCCAUCCCUAACCGAUACCGACCGUCGGAUUCUUAUUACCCUUAGAGAGUUUUUCCCCGGUGGAACCCAUAUUGAGAUGUGAAGAUGUUAUGGUAAGAUGUGUGAGGACGAUGUUGGUAUUUAUAGAGCUUGUAUAAUUUAGGUUUUUCUUUUAUGCAAAAAUAAAUACUUCACUCUUU